rnacentral:rRNA from 1 species
UUGGGAGCUCACUAGCUUUGGAGUCAUGGAAACUUCGAAGUUAAGCGAGUUGGGGCUAGAGCAAUCACAGGAUGGGUGACCCACUGGGAAGUUGCUCGUUAGUUCCCAGA